ACGAGCUGAAACGGUAUACUGAUCUUGUCCGCUUUACCCUGAUGGUUUUUAUGAUAGUAUUUGGUAAAACACGUUCAUUAGUAAGUACAACAUAGCAGAUAAUUGUAUAUAAAAUCCACAUUUUUUUCGAGAUCAGUCCGUUUCAGUUCAGCCUCAGGUAAUUCAAAAAUAUAUCGUUUUAGCAGCCUGCACAACAAAUCCUGUAUCCAUCCUUUUUGAAGCGAUAUGCCGUCUUCGGAUAUCCCGAUUUACCAUUCUUGAUAUUCUUCGUGAUUCUGUUGAAGGAUAUCUACGUUUCUGUGUAUGGAUCUGAAGCUGAAUCGAUUUUUCCACAGCAGAUUCUGACACCAAUCCGGCUUCAUUUUUGCUUCGUCGUGACGUUGCGUGGUGCGUACCUGCGCAUGCGCAGUCUGCGGGAGCCGCGAGUCUGGUAGGACGUCAAAGAUGGCGGAGCCUGUCGUCGUGCACGCGAGAUGCAGCGGCGUGGCCUUUGAAUAUUGACGGGAGUUUCAGCCAUAUUAUUAAAUAUUACGUGUGGAAUAUAAACUCAGAGCGCGAGAGAGAGAGCGCGAGCGAGCGCGUGCACGGGACUCUCUGGGCGGGAGGUGGCUGUCUGGGUUAACAACACAAAUAGUACAGCCAGCACGUUACACUAGUUGUGAGUAGCUAGUGAGUAGAAGUGUGCGUGUGUUAAUGUUUAACCAUUACAGUAACCAGCUCCCUCCCCGUUCGAUUUACGGGUAAACAGGACUAAUUGGUCUGUACACAUAUCCAGCUCUCUGGCCAGUGAGACACGCAGUUAGAUGGUCCUCGCUUCUCCGGCGGCUAGUCGUGAGUUAGCAUAUUUAGCAGAGCGCCCGGGGAAUGACUGCCCGGGUCCCGGGCUGCCCGCUCACCUAACCCUAACCCGGCCGGCUCGGCGUUUCAUCUAUGGCCGCAGGCUGAAGCCUCUCAGUGGGCGAUUCCCUCGGUCACCCCGGCGGCUUUUCAGUCUACCUGAGCACUGUAGGGCCGAAAAUAAAUUACGUUUAAGCGGCGCUUGUAUACUCAGCGUUAGCCGGUCCGGCGUUAACGAGCGGCUGUUUGUGCAGCCUCCACAGCGGGCCGCUGUGAGUCCGUGUUCCAGCCAUCCGCCUGGAGACCCGGCGACGGGAAAAUGGCGGCCGGGGCCGGAUCCUCGGGUGGUCACAGUGGUCGUGGCUCGUCCGGCGCCCUGGAGUCGUCUUUGGACCGCCGGUUUCAAGGAGUGUCCAACACCAUGGAGUCGAUCCAGGGCCUGUCCGGCUGGUGCAUCGAAAACAAGAAGCAUCACGUCUUGAUUGUGCGCUCCUGGAUGAAAUGGCUGAGGAGAUCGGAGCCCAGUCACAGGCUGAACCUUUUCUACCUCGCCAAUGAUGUCAUUCAGAACUGCAAGAGGAAGAAUGCAAUCAUCUACCGCUCCACCUUUGCAGAAGUGCUUCCCGAGGCUGCCUUGCUGGUCAAGGAUGCGAAGGUACGCAAGUCUGUUGAGAGGAUCUUCACUAUCUGGGAGGAGAGGAAUGUCUAUCCAGAAGAGCUUAUUACGGAGCUAAAGUCUAGCCUGGCUAAGAAGGAGCCAGCUCCUGCCCCAGUGAACCCCAAGGCUGCCCUGAAGUCAAAGAUUGUUGCUGAAUUUGCUCUCUUUCUCCCUCAGCCCCAAGCAUUUAUAGAGCAGCUGUCCAAGUACAAGCAGUCUGUGGAGGAAGCUGACCUUAAGGAGAAGCAGCUGUCCGCCCUCCGAGUCGAUGUCUGCAGCACGGAGGCCCUUAAGAGGCUCAAAGAUAAGGCUGGAGGUAAGAAGUUCUCAAAGGACUUUGAGGAAGGCAGCGGGAAGCUGCAGGAGUUUGUGAACUUCCUGGAACAGCAGGUGAAGGGAGGCCCCCCUCUUCUGGAGGCUUUGGCCAAUGCUGAUGUCUUCUACGAGAUGCAGUACAAGGAGGUCAAGAUUGUCGCAAAUGCAUACAAGACCUUUGCCAACCGUGUGUCUAACUUGAAGCGCAAGCUUGAUGCCCUUAAGGCAGCCCUCCCUGACCCCGAUGACUCCCCCAUCCCCUCCCCCUCUGAGGACGCUCCGUCCCCAACGGGAUCAGAGUCCCCCUUUCAUGGGAUGGGGGUUGGGGGUGCCAGAGGGGACACAUCGGGGAACCUGGUUGGCAUGAUGGAUGUUGACGGCAGAGCCGUGGACGACAGGCGGGAUGUGGCCUUCAGCCUGGGGGACACGGCCGGCCCCAGGUCUUCUCCCAGCAGCUCCCACAGCCAGAUGCACGGGCAUGGGGAGGGGGACAACAGAGAUGUGGAGGACAUGGAGCUCUCAGAAGGAGAGGAGGCUGACAGCACCAACAUCAUAGUGGAGGAGCGCAGAGAAAAGCCGGCCCCUGUUGCCGCUCCCAAGCCUGCCGCUGCUGCUCCUGCUGCUCCUCCUGCUGCUCCACCUCAGCGACUCUCAGAGGAGCCCCCUUCAAAAAAGCCUGCACCACCCGUCACUUCCACCCCCAGCACCCCUGGGACCCCAGCAACUCCCCUGCCAGUCAACCUGGCCAACGUGGACCUGGGCAAGAUCAGUUCCAUCCUCAGCAGCCUCACGUCAGUGAUGAAGAAUACUGGCGUCAGCCCAGUAUCCCGCCCCUCGCCGGGAACGCCCACCACCCCGUCGGCUCAGGGUUCGGCGGUGAAGCCCGGCACACCAUCCCCUGGUGGAGCGUCGGCUCCAAACCCGCUGGCCAGCAUCUUAUCCCGUGUGGACAUCACCCCUGAAGGCAUUCUGAGCGCCCUGUCUAAGAGCCAGGGACCGAGUGCUGGGCUGCAGGGUCUGUCUUCCCUUUUGCACAGUGUUGCUGGAAACACUUCUGUGACAGCGAAUGCGGCCAAGGAACGGACCUCGAAUCCCACUGCCCCAGUGCCCGUGCGGGGCCACACAUACACCUCUCCUGAGCCUUCCUCUAUCUCCUCAUCCUCAGCGGUGCCGGUGGGGAAGAUUUCUACGAUGCCUAGCGCCGCUAAACCCAAACCCCCGUCGGGCAACAACUAUAAGCGGGAGGUGGACAGGGAGCUGGAGAGGGAGUCCUCUUCCUCGGCCUCCUCUUCCUCUCCCUCUAGUUUAGAAUCAAAAAUUCAUAAAUUUCUCCAGGGAAACCCAGGGUUCAGUGCCAUCAACCUGGGUAUCCCUAUCCUGGGCAGCGGCCCAGGAGGGAGCAAUGACAGCCCCUUGCUGGGCUCAGAGAACGUGGACGGGACGCCCGUCCGCGAUGAGACGGGAGGCACCCCCACCCAGGAUGAGAUCAUGGACAAACCCGGCUCGGAGUCCCUCGCGCUCCUGGCGGAGGCCGGCUCUCUGGGGGGCAUGAAGAAGCUGCCAGCAUCCAUAGGGCACGACCUCUCUCCCACUGCCUAUCGCACUGACUCCUGGGACGUGGCCAUCUCGCCCAAGGCCGUCUUCAACCAAGCGGACAACGACGGGGAUUAUCAUUCUUCUCGGUACCCUGGGUACGGUGUGGAAAAGAAGGCCUCCAAGUCAAUCUUGAAGCUGAAGGGAGAGGACACCCUGAAGAAGAGAACCUCCAGCUCUGUGUCUGGGGCGGCUCUGAUUCCGGCUGCCCAGGACCCUAAGCCCGGUCACAUCAAAGCCAGGAAGGAUAGCUACGGCGCCACCCAUGGCCCAGGCAAGCCGGGCUACUACGACGGGCUGGGUGAGAGGAGGGGCUCGACCUCCAAGGAGCCUCUCCAUCAGCACCCCGUCCCCCCUGCAGAGCGCGUGAAGAAUGCAGCACCCCGAAAGAUGGGCAGCGGCGCAGAGGAAGGGGGCGGUGAGCAGCAGUCGCAUGGGGAGGGCGGGGAGAAGGACGCGCCGCGAAGCACCCCACCCACCAGCGAGGCAGAGGGCGCUCACUACCACCGCAUCGAAACCGUGGUCUCCUCCUCCACCUGUGGGGAGGGAGCUCCCAUCGAGACUCUGGGCUACAGUAACCGGCGAAUGUCGGGCGAGAGGAUCCAGACCGUGGAGAGCAUCCGCGUCAUUGGCCGUGGCUCCCGGCCCCAUGGCCGAGGGGGCGGAGCCGGGCCGAGGCCGGGCGGUGGUGGGGGCGGCUGGUAUGACGAGGCGUACAUGGAGGCACCCCUGCCUCCCAUCAUGGCUCCUCCUCCCUCUCUUGGCCUUCCACCCCACCCCAAUACCCCUGCCUUGUCCACGCCGGGUGGUUCUGAUGACCGGAGUUUGGGCUCAUCUGCUUUGCCUCCGCCACCCCAUCUCCUGCCUCCCCACCCCCACCUUGCUCCGGGGCAGUUCCAGUUUGAGGAGAGGCCAGUCAUGCCCUUCCCUGCUGAAGACCCCCAUUCUCGUCCCCUCCCCCACCAGCAUCCACCCCCCACCUCCUUCUUCAGUUCCCCUCCGCCCCCCAUCCCGCAGCCCCCUCCUCCUCCCAUCCCUCAGCCGCCUCCACCACCGCGGGACUUCCUGUCUCCGCCCUCUGCCGUCAUGGUGGGCGGGGUGCUGGUACCCGUAGACCGCGCCCUGCCUUUCCCUCCUGGCCGACCUGACUCCGGAGACCGCGGGGGGAGUGGCACCAGCAGUAGUAGCAGCAGCGGCUCUGCUGUGGGGGGGGGGGGCAAUCCCAGCAGCCUCCCUCCUCCCCUCAUGUCCUCCCUGCUUGGCGACCCCCCUCAGUUUAAAGAUCUCCCACACGCAGCCACUGUGAAGGAGCACUUCAGCUCGUGCCAUGCCCCUCCUCUGCACCGCCCCGGGACGCCUGGGGCCCCGCCUCCACUGCUUGCUAGAGCCCGGGAUGGCCCCAACUCCCCCCAACCCUCAUCGGCCUCCUCUGCACCCACGUCCCCUUCGGGAGACCCACCUCCCCUCCUGCCCCCUAACAGAAACACCGCCACCCCCUCCUCACUUCAGCAGGCCCAGCGCCCACUGACCAACCCCAAUUCGCAGCCUCACAACCACAGGCGCCCCUCACCCCCCCUUUCACUCAUGCGCCUGCCCUCCCCGAACCCCAGGCUCCCGCUGCGGCCCCCACACCCCCAGCCCGUGCCCCCCCCCCAGAGACAGUUUCUCCGCGGGCGUCCCCCUCACCCUCUGCGCCCCCCCCACUUCGAGCGAGAUCCCAUGUUCCGAGCAGGCAAACCCGCCCCCCCCUUCGCCGGUGUCCCGGGGAGCGGUCCCAGAGGCGCUCCUUUUUACCCUCCCAAGAGACCUUUCCUGCCCCCGCGCUACUGAAGGGUUAAUCAAACCGCCCCCCCUUCUCCUGCGAGGUUGUGGCCUGCUCCAGUUUCACCCUCGAACAGCCUCUUCGCACGCUCCAAGACCCAUAGCAAAUGAUGGGAGCGUCAUGUAGGCCACGAUGGAAGGAGAACUACCUGCAGAUGGUAUAAUAAAGAGAAGGAAAAAAGAG